rnacentral:lncRNA from 1 species
UGAAAUGAGAAUUAGACAGGAGUAAACUUAGGCUGUGAGUUUGUACUUAUUUGAAUCUUAUUGAAUUGUGAAACUAUAGGUCUAUUUGGUACGUGCGGAAAAAAGCCAAAUAAGAUUGUUUCAGAAGUAGGUGGAUUAUUGUAACUAGAAAAAGGUUACUAAAUUGUUUUAAGUCCAUUUGAAUGGCAUGCUGUGCAUUUGUGCUUUGAGAUGCUUAUGAACUAGUUCUAACAUGC